ACUUUUAUGCCUCCCAAGUUCAGGCUGCUUCUGCCAUGAAUAAAAUGUUUAACUGAUCGUUUUGUGUCGUUUCACCUUAACUUAGCCUGAUGGAAUUCCGAAUUCAACCUGACUCCCUGGUCUGUCCAGCCCUGGUCGUGACACCCUGGAGAGAGACCAACCUGUUGCAGACCUGCUGACUGGGAAAAGGCUAGGAUAAAUGGGACAAAUACCUCCCAGAGAUGCCUGCUGAUGAACCACAGGGAAGUUUCCUUGGUGAGAGGCAUUGCUAGCACUGAAGAGGACCAGUUUAUUGUGAAGGCGUUAGAUGACUUGAAAAGCAAGAUGUUUAGCAGAGGUCACUGUGGCAAUCGGAGAGGGCAUCUUUGACCAGCCCAAGCAGUGAUUUGUAGCUGUAGAGGUUCUGGCUACUUGUUCUUGAAAGUAUUUCUGCAAAGCAAAAGACAGACCCGAAUCGGCAUUGGGAUUUGUGAAGCAGUACUGCAGCACGGCAUCGUUUUCUUCUCACAGCAUUUGGGAAUGAGAAAGCGGAGGGGAGGUGGGAACAGAAGGCCUUGAGGCACGCAGACUCCUCUAAACCCACAAAUAUGGGACAGAGAUGAUCCAAGGGCAAGUCCUUCGUGAGACACUACCCUGCCGUGGGUGCUCACUUUCAGGACACAUAAGAUGAACCAAGGUGAGGAAGGGAAAGAAAGGCACAGAAGGUGAAGGAACUUGCCCACAAGCACAGCCAGCAUUAGAGCCCAAGUCUUUGUCCAAUGCUUUCCCAUCAGGCCAGCCAACCUCUCGAGACUUUUCUUUUUUUGGGCAAUUUGGUCAGGCACCACUUAACGCAGUCCCAAAUAGCAGGAAGAAUUUGUUAUAAGGAUCAGUAGCAUCAUCAGUAUAACAUGAGCUCAUGUGAAAAUAAAGGGCACCUGUGGGUGAGAGCCAGUCAGACUGUCUUCGGCUGGAUAUUUUUUCCUUUAUGCUGAUUUUCUCAUUAUUUUUCCCUAAAUUGUGCCUGUCUGAAGCACAGAGUCUGACCUUUGGCGUCACACUGGAGGUCUACCAAGGAGAGACAGGUUUUGUGGAAAAGCCAACAAGAGAAAUGGGUUUCUGCCAGUGUUCGCAACUCCAGAAUGAGACUACACAGCUUCAGGGGGAGCCUGGACUAAUUCAUGGAGCAGAAAUUCUUGAAGAGUCACUAGCUACACAGACACUACUUCUUGUUCAGUUCAUGAGUUGCAAAUGGCUGGAGGAUGGAGUACCUAGGCAAGGAUAGCACGUCUUUUCCCUGUGUUUAUACUCGUCCCUGCACAUCCACUUUUGGCCACCGUGAGGGCCAGGACACUGGAUUAACUGGACCUUUGGUCUGAGAAGACAGCUGCUGUUCCCAGGGUGAUGUGUGUCCUGCAGAGUCUCUCGCCAACAGGUACGUGGGGUACCUGGGAUGCUCAGACAGGACAACUCUGCUCUGCCACAGCUCGGGGCUCCUCAUCCUGCAAGUAGGAGCAGCAGCAUCCCAGCAUCUGGUUCUUGCUUUGUACACUGGACAACAGCAUUGCACAUGGGAUAGUUCUCCCAUAGGAGGUUUCUUUUUUCCUUCGUUUAAGUAUAGUACGUGAGACGGCAUGAGUAACGCUCUCCAGGACAGCCUCCAUGUUGGCUGCAGGAGAAGCAGGGACCGUUGACUGCUUAAGUAGGGAAGAUUUAUGUUUCUCUGAUAUUGGACAAAUCUACACAGUUUCUUCCCAAUUUCUUUCCUAAAGGACAAAGUUAACUUUAAAACAAACAACUAAAUAGCUCUAGUGGGAUAUUAAAUUUCUACCAAUAUGAGAGAAAUAAAACAGCUAUAACUGUA